CUCUCUCUCUCUGUCUCUGUGUGUAUGUGUGUGUGUGUGUGUGUGUGUAAAUGAGAUAAUUCCAACCUUAACGGGAGAGACUAUGAGAGACAUGACUGAUGGUGUGUACUGUGCUGCUAUCUAAUGGCAGCCUAUGGAACUACUACGUGGUCUCCAGGGAAGAGAAAAUACAGCGUGACCUCAGUCUAACCCCAUCCAGUUUAGUUCAGAAGGUCCCAGGAUGU
rnacentral:lncRNA from 10 species